UUUUGUAGAUAUAGGUAUUGAUUUUGUUCAUGUUUGAUUUUUCAAGCUUCUUCCUUUGAGUAUCCAAUUCUGACUUAAUCAUAUCCUAUUCUAUAUUGUUAACUUUCCUAAACACAAAACAAGCACAAGUUGCCGAAUUCCAUCCCUUAUCAUUAUGACAGUUGUAUCUUUGUUAUAUAAUUUUUUUAGCAUACUACGUCAUUUCUUGGUUUCCAAUGCCAGCUAAAUGAUAAGUCCAUGGCUUCCUAAUCAAAAUAAUUGGUGCCAGGUUCGUGCUUCUACUUAACUUCAUAGCAUUUUAUGUUUUAGUGUUGGGGAUAUGUUAUUAGAGCUAAAGAAUCUUUAGGUUGUGAUGUUUUAGUGAUGGAUUCUGCCUAGCUUUUCAUUUUCUUGGCCUCACGAACACUAAAAAUUCUUUGUUCGAGUAUAAUAUUUCGCAGAAAUUGCUUAUAUAGAAUUUCUUUUGCUUCGACCAGUUAAGGAAACCCUCCUUCCUAAUCAGUCCUGGCCUCAAAUCCAACAACAAAUAGGUCCGAAAAAUUGCUACUAUACAUGGUUGCUACACUUGCUACACUAUUUUAUGUUGUUGUACGAUGCUAUUGCUAGCCAACCAUUAUCAAGUGCUGAAUUUAUACUAAGAUGAAGUUCCUUUUUCUUCUGUUUUUUUCUUUCUAGGUGGGGGUUUAUGAUUGUUUAAUUGGGACCUCAAAUUUUUGCCUUGCAGGAUAGUCAAUUGCAUCAUUAACCAUUUUAAGAAUGAGUAGUGGUAUUUGUGUCUGCGUUAUGUCAUGUUUGGGACCGAGUUAAGUAUCACUAUUCCAAGCUGACAAUGCAAGUAGUGAAAUUGACACUUAUUGUGGACGCAUACCAAGUAUUGAUAACGAAGAUUGUGAAGAAGGCUUUUGUUCGUUUAAAUCUUAAUGCUCCAUAUCCAUUGAAUCUUUCAUUCAUUUUAAAAGAUGCGCGUUUGAUUUUCCUGCGUGUUUGUGCUUCAGCGGAUACUUAUGAGGAUGAUGAAAUACUCGAAAUAAAAGAUGUCUUGCUGCAUAUAACACAUUUUCCCAGAUAAUUGAAGCUCAACAGCAAAUUGAGAGCAGCAACGAAAGAUAGACGUGGGAAAUUUAUCGUCGUCAAUUAUGGAUGGGUAUGACUUAAUACAUUGGUACGGAUCAUUUAAACUCAGCUGUGUUCCUGGGUUCUUUUUUGGUGGUUCUAUGGCUUAAGCUAUGUGACACAGCCAAAGAUCGUGAUGGGGUAAUUUUGUGGCUAUAAUCUCCGCACUACAUUAUUGAUGACGCUGGCGAAUCCUGGAGCACGAGCCAAGAGAUUUUGAAUUAAAUAAUAAUGAUGGAAUUUCUUGCAAGCUCAACCAAUAGCCUGCACUGCAAAGGUGGCUACGACUUUGUG